AUUGGACGCUGGCGGCAUGCCUUACACAUGCAAGUCGAACGGUAACAGGUUAAGCUGACGAGUGGCGAACGGGUGAGUAACACAUCGGAACGUGCCCAAUCGUGGGGGAUAACGCAGCGAAAGCUACGCUAAUACCGCAUACGACCUACGGAUGAAAGCGGGGGAUCGCAAGACCUCGCGCGAAUGGUGCGGCCGAUGGCAGAUUAGGUAGUUGGUGGGGUAAAGGCUCACCAAGCCGACGAUCUGUAGCUGGUCUGAGAGGACGACCAGCCACACCGGGACUGAGACACGGCCCAGACUCCUACGGGAGGCAGCAGUGGGGAAUUUUGGACAAUGGGCGCAAGCCUGAUCCAGCAAUGCCGCGUGCAGGAUGAAGGCCUCGGUUGUAACU
rnacentral:rRNA from 1 species